rnacentral:rRNA from 1 species
UAGGAGGUCAGCCUGCCAGUGACUAUUAGUUUAACGGCCGCGGUAUUCUGACCGUGCAAAGGUAGCGUAAUCACUCGUCCUUUAAAUGGGGUCAAGUAUGAAAGGCUAGACGAGGGCUUAGCUGUCUCCCCUUCCAGGUCAGUGAAAUUGAUCUAUCCGUGCAGAAGCGGGUAUAAAAAUACAAGACGAGAAGACCCUUUGGAGCUUUAGGUACAGGACUUAACCACGUUAAGCAAGUUAAUAAGAACACUAACCCCAUUGGGGAUUAAGACCCUACCUUCGGUUGGGGCGACCACGGAGAAAAACAUAACCUCCGAGUGGACAGGGAAACCCCUAGAGCUAAGAGACCCAUCUCUAGGCCACAGAAUUUCUGACCAGAAAUGAUCCGGUCAUUUGACCGAUCAGCGAACCAAGUUACCCUAGGGAUAACAGCGCAAUCCUCUCCCAGAGCCCAUAUCGACGAGGGGGUUUACGACCUCGAUGUUGGAUCAGGACAUCCUAAUGGUGCAGCAGCUAUUAAGGGUUCGUUUGUUCAACGAUAAAAGUCCUA